AUUGAACGCUGGCGGCAUGCCUUACACAUGCAAGUCGAACGGCAGCACGGGAGCAAUCCUGGUGGCGAGUGGCGAACGGGUGAGUAAUAUAUCGGAACGUGCCCAGUCGUGGGGGAUAACGCAGCGAAAGCUGUGCUAAUACCGCAUACGAUCUACGGAUGAAAGCGGGGGAUCGCAAGAUCUCGCGCGAUUGGAGCGGCCGAUAUCAGAUUAGCUAGUUGGUGAGGUAAAGGCUCACCAAGGCGACGAUCUGUAGCUGGUCUGAGAGGACGACCAGCCACACUGGAACUGAGACACGGUCCAGACUCCUACGGGAGGCAGCAGUGGGGAAUUUUGGACAAUGGGCGCAAGCCUGAUCCAGCAAUGCCGCGUGCAGGAUGAAGGCCUUCGGGUUGUAAACUGCUUUUGUACGGAACGAAACGGUGAGCUCUAAUACAGCUUGCUAAUGACGGUACCGUAAGAAUAAGCACCGGCUAACUACGUGCCAGCAGCCGCGGUAAUAC
rnacentral:rRNA from 1 species